CUCUAGGGUUAAGGCUGCCAGACUGAGGCCCUGAUACAAGGACAGAGGAGGUGCUGGGGCUGUGGGGAAGCGGCCCAGGGAAGGAGAUGGCAGAGUUGGAGCAGGGGCAGUACGUGGCUGCCUGCUAUAGGGUCCCUGGGUCAGCGGGCAGGCCCAGGGUCCCUCCUCUUCUCCCACUGGCCACUGAGCGAAGUGGCCAGUACAUGGACUGCAGUCUGCCGCUGAGAUGAGUGUCUAGAACCUGGACUGCAGACUGCCACUGAGGCAGGUUGGAUUGAGGUCUGUCGGUCCCCCGGAAUGGGGGAAAGAACCGAGUGGAAGAGGACAACGCGGUCGGGGAGCAACACGGGUCCUGGACGCAGAGACAGGAGUGACGACGGGCGAGACACCACCUGAGGUGACCACCACCACCAAGCUAAUUUGCAGGAUAGGCAGCAGAAGGCAUCACAGCGAUGGAGCAUAUGGAAAAUGUGAACUUGCUACCAAGGCAGAAACAUGAAGAGCAAGUACCAUCUUUCAAGUUUUCUGAUUCCAUGGGCACAUUCUGGAAAAAGAUUUGUUAUCACAGUAGACGGAAGCAAUGUGUCCUUGACAGAUAUUUGUUUUAACAAACACUUUAAAAUAGACAUCCAUAUCUGUAACCAUGCAAGAAAAUAAUGCUAUUUUGUUUCUUCAGAUUUGCAGUAUGUACCCAAUAAAACACAAUUCAGAUUCUCAUGUCACU